AUUGAACGCUGGCGGCAGGCCUAACACAUGCAAGUCGAACGGUAACAGGAAGCAGCUUGCUGCUUUGCUGACGAGUGGCGGACAGGUGAGUAAUGUCUGGGAAACUGCCUGAUGGAGGGGGAUAACUACUGGAAACGGUAGCUAAUACCGCAUAACGUCGCAAGACCAAAGAGGGGGACCUUAGGGCCUCUUGCCAUCGGAUGUGCCCAGAUGGGAUUAGCUAGUAGGUGGGGUAACGGCUCACCUAGGCGACGAUCCCUAGCUGGUCUGAGAGGAUGACCAGCCACACUGGAACUGAGACACGGUCCAGACUCCUACGGGAGGCAGCAGUGGGGAAUAUUGCACAAUGGGCGCAAGCCUGAUGCAGCCAUGCCGCGUGUAUGAAGAAGGCCUUCGGGUUGUAAAGUACUUUCAGCGGGGAGGAAGGGAGUAAAGUUAAUACCUUUGCUCAUUGACGUUACCCGCAGAAGAAGCACCGGCUAACUCCGUG
rnacentral:rRNA from 1 species